UACAGAGGGGGCAAGCGUUGUUCGGAAUUACUGGGCGUAAAGGGCGCGUAGGCGGCCUGCUAAGUCGAACGUGAAAUCCCUGGGCUCAACCCAGGAACUGCGUCCGAUACUGGUUGGCUUGAAUCCGGGAGAGGGAUGCGGAAUUCCAGGUGUAGCGGUGAAAUGCGUAGAUAUCUGGAGGAACACCUAUGGCGAAGGCAGCUCGCUGGGACGGUACUGACGCUGAGACGCGAAAGCGUGGGGAGCAAACAGG
rnacentral:rRNA from 1 species